rnacentral:rRNA from 1 species
GUGGAUCGAGACUAAAGAUCGCAUGUCAAUGAUUAGCUUACGUCAACGCUCAUUAACGGCUAAACGGCCGUUAACGGAACCUACCGCCAGACGUGGCAGCGGUAGCCUGUGUUAUGCUACCGCCAGGGACGGCGACGGUAACCAAAAGGAUCAAAUCUCGAAAUGUUUCCAUAUCGAGAUUAGAUCCUACUAAACUACGUGAAAAGCGUCAAAGCAUGAAAUUUUGCCACCAAAGUGACCUUUCCAAGGCCAAGGCUAGCGAUGCGAUACUCUUUGGCAUUACCUCAGCAGUUACGUCAUGCUCCGCUCGAGACCCGUCCAAGCGGUCCCUUUCCGCCAACGGCCGCAUCUUCUGUCGGCUGGACCUGCAAGAUCUCGUGAGACAACUCGGCCAACCUCACCAUCCGUGCUUCCCCCCUUCCCAUUUCCCUUUCCUUUCCUUUCCUUCGUUCUCUCCCACUCCCACAGUCGAUCGAACCAUGGAGAAGCCGUUUUUGUCCGUGUCGACGCGACGAGACUGCCGCUCCAACACCUGGCCCGCGGCCAGCCUCACGCACGGCGGAGCCCGCCACGUCGCCGGCCUCACAGCACACAGUCAUCCAGGCAUGACAGAAAUAUCGGACUGAGCUACGCGAGUGGCAGCGCCUACCAAGCUCUUUUCCGCCGGUGACCAUUCCAGUAGUCCAUCACAUGGGUCAAGACGAGCGCCAGCAUCCAGAGCUGCCGGACAUGGAGAAGGAGCUCUCUGCCGACGCGGUAGCCUGCGACCACUGCAGCGGCCCACAGGCGGUGGUGUACUGCCGGGCCGACAGCGCCAGGCUCUGCCUGCCGUGCGACCGCCACGUGCACGCCGCCAACGCGGUCUGCUCCCGCCACCUGCGCGCCCCGCUCUGCGCCGCAUGCCGCGCAACCGGGGCCGUCUUCCGCCACGCCGGUCCCGAAUUCCUCUGCUCCAACUGCGACUUCGGGAGGAGCCGGGACGCCGAGCUGCCGCUGCACGACCGCUGCACAGUCCAGGGGUACACGGGACGACCCUCCGCGCACGACCUCGCCGCUCUUCUCGGGGUCCCCGACUUCGACAAGCCCUCGGCCGGCAAAGCCGACGACGGUUGGUGGGCCAUUUGGGAGGAGCCCCAGGUGUUCAGCCUGGAGGAUCUCAUCGUGCCCACCACUUCUAGCCAUGGCUUCCAGCCCCUCGUCACGCCGUCCUCGCCCAAGAUCCACAACUCACCCGAUGGAAAGACCAACGAUGAGGUCAUACGGCAGUUACGUGAGCUCGCCGAGGUCGACAUGGGCGGCGGUCAGAUAACACCUCGUGAGGAGGCAGAGCAAGCUGCUCAUCUGUUGCCUUCCAGGACAGAGUCACAGCACACCACUGGAAAUGGCGAUUUCGGCACAGAUAACAGCCAUGAGGUUGCAACCAUGCCAACCCCUAGUUAUGAGAACGGCGGAUGGAACAAUAACGAUUAUCAUGCCCUAAAUGGUGCCUGCAAGACCGAGCACGAACAAGAGCAGGCUCCAGCAAGCUCAGCUGAAGCAUGCUUGUCAUCGUUUGUUCAGAUGUCAGAACUUUGCCCCAGCAUGAGCAAUGGUAGCAUGAUGGACGAUGGCCAGCAGGCAAAUCCUGGUACUGGCAUGCCAAUGCAAGCUUUCCCCAAAAGAAGUGGCUUUGAUGUUGUUGCUGGCCCUGACCGCGACAUUGUCAUUUCCCGCUAUAAAGAAAAGAGGAGGACAAGAAGAUUCGACAAACAGGUGCGAUAUGAGUCCCGCAAAGCUCGUGCAGACAGCAGGUUGAGGAUCAAGGGGCGUUUUGCAAAGGCAAAACAGAGUUAAGCCUUGACUUUGCAGUAUAUUUUGCAUCUUGGACAGAAGGAAUAACACUAAUUAGGAGUGAGUGCAGAUGAUACAUAAGGCGUGAACAUUUUGUUUGCCUUCAGUUCGGCAGAUGGUAGUUCAUGUACAAUCUGAAUAAUGUAUGUUGCCAACAUAUGGGCUAUAUUAAUGUUUUGAGGGGAGUUGUUCUUAGUCCAACCCUUGUAUAUAGUUUCCAUCUAUGAACUCUGUAAAAGUACUACAGGCAAGUGAGAGUGACAGUAUGCCAUUUUUGCAUGGUUUAGUGAAUUUUGUCUCACCAUUGGGUUUUGUUGAGUAAAUCAUUUUCAUGAGUAGUGUAUAGUAGUUACCAAAUCCUUGGAGCAAUUGCUGAUGGACGUAUUGUAUUUUCACUGAUCUACGGUUUGUCGAAAUUGGAGAAAAAAAUU